rnacentral:rRNA from 1 species
UGGGAAUUUUGGACAAUGGGCGCAAGCCUGAUCCAGCAAUGCCGCGUGCAGGAUGAAGGCCUUCGGGUUGUAAACUGCUUUUGUACGGAACGAAAAGCCUCUCUCUAAUACAGGGGGGUGAUGACGGUACCGUAAGAAUAAGCACCGGCUAACUACGUGCCAGCAGCCGCGGUAAUACGUAGGGUGCAAGCGUUAAUCGGAAUUACUGGGCGUAAAGCGUGCGCAGGCGGUUUUGUAAGACAGUGGUGAAAUCCCCGGGCUCAACCUGGGAACUGCCAUUGUGACUGCAAGGCUGGAGUGCGGCAGAGGGGGAUGGAAUUCCGCGUGUAGCAGUGAAAUGCGUAGAUAUGCGGAGGAACACCGAUGGCGAAGGCAAUCCCCUGGGCCUGCACUGACGCUCAUGCACGAAAGCGUGGGGAGCAAACAGGAUUAGAUCCCUGGUAGUCCACGCCCUAAACGAUGNCAACUGGUUGUUGGGGGAUUUAUUUCUUCAGUAACGAAGCUAA